GGAUAAGGAAUUCCGCCCCCUGCAGCGAUUUGCGACGGCACUGCGCCUCGCCCUGCCCCAUCGCGACGAAGUCGAUAUUUACUGGGGCCUGCACUUCGCGCUGGCGAUGAUCCGGCAGACCGUGACCGACAGCGAGCGGUUGAAGAAGCUGUCAGGAGGAUUGUGCGACUUGAAUGAUGUCGACGACAUCAUCCGGCGGAUUGUAUCAACCGCGAAAGAUGCCCUGGUCGGCGGCGCCGANGGCGCCGAUGCCGCGACGCCUCUUGUUCGCGCGUCAGGCUUUCGAAAAUCCUGAUCGCG
rnacentral:misc_RNA from 1 species